rnacentral:lncRNA from 1 species
AUCAUAGUACAAGUCUAAUGUGCAAUGAGAUACAUUUGAAAGGUGCAGGAGGCCCCACAGCAUCCUUCCUUGGGUUUUUGUCUCCAGUCUAUAGUCCCUUGGACUUAUUUUUUUUAUAGGAUUAUCAAAAGUGCAGUUGUGGCAUUAUAAUUUGUUGCUUUUGUGUCCUUUAGUUGUGGUAAAAAAUAAAACCAGAUAUAAAUAAUAACAAAGAAAAAGCUUUCAGGAAAUAUAUGAAUUAUAUCUGUUAUAUAAUAUGGAGUUUCCAUAAUUCUAUCCUGUAUUAGUAAGAGUUUGCUGUGGGAAUAGGAAUCACAGUGGACAGCCCUUACCACCAGGGCUGUCCUUCUGCAUGAUUUAUUGCAAAAGCGGUUGCAUAGGAGAGUAGAUUUUGCCCAAUGGGCAGACUCAUCAGUGACCAAACUUGUUUUUCCCCAGUGAUUGCAAAAGGACAGAUUUAGUACCAGGCAUAUUUAUUUCAGUGUCCAACUGAAUCAAAUGAGUGUCUUGCACCAUUCUUUUCAAAGACAUCUUAGCAAUGGUCUGAAAACCAAUUCACAGUGUUUAAUAGUGUGCCUGAGUAUUUUCUGUAAUACAGUUUGACCCAUGCAUGAAUUUCUGUUUACUUUGCACUACUCUGUUUGCUACUUUGGAAGAAAAGUGGUCAACGCUACUUAAAUGAUGUUUCUCAAAUAGUGUAACUGGUGUGCUAAUUCAGGCAUGCCUACUUUGUCUCACUUGUGUUAUGGACAAUUUAACUCUAAUUAUAACUAAAUUCCAGGGUUGGUUUGGAACACUUAUUAUACACGUGUCACUUCAUUUAGAGAUACUCAUGUUUGUAUAUGUAUUCUCGUAUUAGAUAUAAAGAUUCUUGGGAACAUAUAUAUUUUUUUACAGAGCUUCGCGGAACACUUAUCGUGAUCAUUGCUGUCAUUCAUAAACAUUUGUGCAAUGACUGCUUGUCUAUGGUUUAGUAAACAGUACUAUGAAAAAUGGGAUAGUUUAGCUGCUAUAUUGAUGAAAAUUGAAGCUGAUGAAAAUUGAAGACCUGGAUAACUCUUUCUCAGCAAAGGCUAUUUACUGCCUGGGCUAUGAUACUACUGUGUACGUACCAGGUAUUUAAUAUGUUCUUAGUAAAAUGAUAAGAGUACAUUUAUUCUGUGGUAGAAAUGGUGGAUUGUCUCUUGGUAUUGAUUCCAAGCCCCUCUUGAGUAUAUUUUUUCAUCUGGAAAAUGCUAUAAAGUUAGAAAACAGCCUGUGACUUCCUUGGAGAUAAGGUGGUGAAUAGCCAUGGUAGUGUUUUGUUGCUUUGUUCUUAGCAUGGAACCAAGUCCCGGGGCCCAGUUACUAGCUGUGUGAGUGUCAUGAGGCAGGGUGUUGGGUUUCAGUUGUGCUGGUGAAGAACAUAGCAGGCCCUGUAUGAUUUGGAAGCAGACAACAGUAGCAGCUGGGUUAGCAGCUUCCUGACUGAGUAGCACCUGGAUCAUAUUGAUUUCAUGAUCCAGAUGCCUUCCUUUUAGAGUUUAUUUCCUAAUUGUGGUGAAGCACUGCACUUACGGAACUGGCAGCAUUCCACAGUGGCAGGUAGCUAAUCACAGAAGAGGUUGUGGUUCUUCUGGUGGCCCAGCUCUGUGGUGUGGCUUGGGAACUAUUUCUGAAAGCUCAGCUUUAUAUGUCUUUCUUAAGUCUUGCCUGGUGAUUUUAUAAGUCAUUUAAUUAUCUGUAUAACAUGUUUUUCUUCUGGAAAUAGCUAGGGAGAUUCUGUCCUCUUUAACUUUACAAUGACCUUUAUCCCACUGGGCCAUGGGACUUUCUCCAAAAUUGUCCAGGGUCAAUUCAUUCGCCAUUAUAUUAUUUUGUGAAAAAUUGUGGAAGUACCACUAGAAAUAAUCACAAACAUAAUUGGGUCUUUUUUUCUAGCCCAUUGCAGAAUGUUUACACAUACCUCAUAUUUUCCCCGUAAUUGAUGAGUCACAGUAAUAUCCCCAGGCCCAUUAACUUGACUUAUAAAAUGUCCCUUGAACUGUACUUUGAAGCCCUACAAAAUUGAGCUGUUUGAGCUAGAAAAGCAGAAGCAGGCAAAAGUACAGAAUCUCCACAGGAAAUGUUUUGCCUCCAGGGUCCUGUCAUUCAAACUAGGCAUUGAAAAUACCAAUAUUCUAGCGGAUGUCUAAGGCUGCUUAUUUCUGUGGGUUAAGGCACAAUGCUAAUCAGAGGCCAAACGGGUGAGUGCUGUCUCCAGGUGAGCCAUUUAGUUUCACUCUCUUUUAUUGCCUCAGCCUUCACUCUUUUGCAGGACUUUUUUGCCCUGCUUUUUCAUACUGCCCACCUUUGAGACGAGGGAGAGAGGAAGGUGGCAAAAAAAUACUUUCUCAAGAUGCUUUAGUGAUGAUGGGUCAGUAGCAUUACUUUCAUACUCAAGGGACUGUACUUUCCACUUAGACUCCAGAGAGAGGAGACAAAUGCUAUCUGUUCAGGAAUUGUGAGCCUUGCUAACCUGGACAGGCAGGCAAAAGAGGAAGUUCCCUAUCUUGCCUUGGGAGAGAAUUUUUAUCCUCAGUGAAAAUGGCAUGUAUUGAUUAAGGUGAAAGAGUGAUAGAAAAAUUUUGACCAUAUAAGAGAAUUUAAUUCACAACAGAAUAGGAGUUUAAAAAGGAAAAAAGGAUUGGUUGGAGCAAAGAUGGCUGAGGGAAAGAGAGACUAUACCACUUAAUACAGAUUCCUUUCAAAUGGUGAUUUAAACACACAAAGGUUUGAUCUCUCAUCAUCAUNAGAGAAGUCUGGAAAUAGGCAGUCUGGGGCUGGCAUGGCAAUUCUAGAGCAUCAUCAUGAGCCCAAUUUCCUUCUUUUUCUGUUAUCUAUUUUCUAAACGCAUGGCUUCCAUUCUCAAAGUCAACUCAGGAUCCAAAGUAGCUGCUGGAGUUCUAGACAUCAUUUCCACCUUCCAGCUAGCAGGAAGGGUAGAAAGCUUCUCCUUCUCAGAGGCUCAUAUGGUAUUUCCUCUUGCACCUAGUCGGCCAGAAUUUAGUCGCAUGACCUCACUUAGCUGCAAGAGAGGCUGGGGAAUUGAGUCUUGUGGUCAAGCAGUAAUAUACUAGCUAAAAACUGGAAUUCUGUUACUAAGGAAGAAGAAGAAAGUGGACAUUUGGAAGGCAAGUCCUGAUCUCUACCACAGAGGCUUGAGCCAGACAGAGCUCAGAUACUAUGCUGUUGUUGACUGUGGCUGUUUGGCUUUGAGCAAAGGCCCUUUUCUCUCCCACUGCAAAUGGAGUUUUUAACCUUUACUUCAGGGUCAUCCAAGAAGCUGAGACGGUUUUUAGCGAAGACUGCCCAGAAUGGUCUAGUGCACACACAGCCAUGUGAGACGGGCAGUGGCACCUUAGAUCCUUUUGUCUGCCUGUUGUAGAGUUGAAUUGGUUGAAAAUAAUAAGUAUAGAUGGGAUUUUUUUUGGCACACUGCCUAUGACCCUAGUCUGAUUAAUGCCCUCAGACAAAUGCUUUCAGGGGCUGCAGUUCUGGAAAGAUUCUAAGAGGAAUCAGAGCAGGAAGCUUUUUGAGGUCAUAGUCAUGGGCAAGUAUAUCAAGAUGUUUUUAGAACCAUAGAAUCUCAAACCUGAAUGAAGACAAAAAGCCUAAAUUAUGAUGUAUUCUUUGUUUCAAAUAGUUUAAGAAAAAAGACCAACUUUUGAAAAUUAGUUUGUUUCAUAUAUAUUUGAAGAAAUGAGGCCAUUUGGCAACAUCCAUCCUGCAUUCCUUCAUGGUGACAAUCCUUAGCAAUUCCUGGGGCCAAAGGGUAAUGGCCCUCAUUAGAUGGGGCCAUCCAUCCAACCAUAUAGUUUUUAUAUCUUAUGUCUGCCCCACUUUUUUACUCAUUCUUGUGACCUACUGGGAACCAGUAAGCAUCUAUGCUUAUACCCCUUGCCAGGGAUGGCUUAGGAGGUAGACUAUGCCUGGGACUGAGCUCAGGGGUUGGGUAUUGCUGGUCUCAGUCACUGUCUGAAUGGGAGGCAUGAGUAGAGGAUUCUUGGCUUGGAGAGAUGGGGCAGGAUAUAAGUGGAAGCUGGGGUUCUACAAAGAAAGGGCCUGACCAGGUGGGCCCAAAGGCUCACCCAUAAUGUGGACUUGAGGAGGGAUUCACCUGUGGGAAGAACAGACACAUCUCUGCACUUCAGGGUAACUGCUCUCAGGAUCUGACUGGAUGGGUUUGAACCAAAGUCAUGGUUUACAAAGCUAGAGCCAGGAUGUGACUGUGGAUUGUAGCCAGGUUUUUCCAUUACAGGUGGAGUGAGCUCCCAGGGUGCUUUAAGUGAUAACUAGCCAGUGUAAUAAACAGAUGGUUCCUUACCAUCUCCAGGAAUGAUUUUGUAACCUACUGUGGAGGCUUAUCUGAGUGGUUCACAACCUAACCCCACCUUCCAACUGGCUGGCAAUCUGUUCGUUGAUAUCCUUAUCUGAAUGUCUGUGGGAGCAUAAAAUUUUUUUAAAAAGGGAUAUGCACAACUGCUUCCCAAGCCACCCUUUCCCCAACAUAGUGCUAUACAGUCUUGUGUAUUUUCCUAAAAUUUUACUUGGAAGCCACUUUAACGUACAAAAAAUAAAGAAGAAAGAACCCUCAAAAAGCUGUAGGGUUCCAAUAUUUCUUAUUUAUGAAAAGAGACAUCAGGAUCCUUCAAACAAUGCUGUACUGAAUGAUUUGAGGAAACAAUGUUGUCAUCAUUUGAAGCUUUUGUUUAGAGACCACGUUGAUAAAUUUCAGAAGGCACUCGCUUGUCUUCUCCCAGCUGUAGUCAGUCAUGCGAUUGGUAUUUGCAUCCUUGGACUUUGGCUUGAAAUGAAAUCUUUUAGCUCUGCUUUAGAUAGUAAAUGUCAACAGUUUAAAGUGGCAUGAUGCUGAUCUCUAAAUCUGCCCUACAGCUGAAUGCUGCAAAUAGGAAGAAAGGAAAAGAAAAACUAUUCGCUACCUUGUGAAACACGUGUGAUUUUCAAUUUGAUUCUCCUUAGAUGUGAGAUCUGUAAUUGUGAGUUCUAAUUUUAUUCAUUCUGACUGGGAAAGCCUCAACAUUUUAAUUAGCACUGGUGACAGAAAUUACAUCAGUUUUAUUUCAGUUCUUUGAGUUUUCAUUUUCCUUAGCUGUAUUCAACUGAAAUGAAAACAUCCAGGCAAGGGUUCCCUCACCUUAAUUAAGGUUAAUUUUUCUAGCACUUGAAAUCAGAUGCAUUCAGUGGCUGAGACACACUGUGUUGGGCCACAACCUGUUUGUGAGAAAAAUAACAAUUUGCUUUUCACUCAGUGUUCCCACUAGUAUUUAUCCUGGCUGUAUCCUAAUGAAUUCAACUUUUUCCUGUUGUGCUGUGCUCCAGUCCACACCCUACCCACUUAAUUUUAAAUUUACUUUGCAGUAUUAGGUUUUAUUUUAUUAAUUCCCACAUAGUUUGGAAAACUGUUCCCUUAAAGAUACCCUUUCAUGUCUCUGUUACAAUUAAUGCCACUUGGAACAUUUUUUCUAAUGGUUUCUAAAUUUGAAUCUUAGCAAAAUUGAAUUAGAGAUUGUGUUUUCAGAGCACAGUCAUGUAUAGGAUUUCUUUCCAGGUCUUAUCUAAUAUUAGGACAAUAAGGCUGAGAUUUACAUUGUCUAUUUCAUAUUUUUUAUGUCUUUAAAAUGUCAGUUAUAAAACAGACAAGCUGGAGGAAAAAAAAGAAAAA